CACACACACACACACCCCCAGACAUACACACACACAUCUAGCUGAGGCAAUUUCCUUGAAGGCAAAGUCCUGGGGUUGUGAGUUAUACGUGCAACUUAAUUUGCUGCUGUCGCACCUGUGGCUUCUCCGCCAACUCGAGGAAAGGAAACGGCCAACCUUGGCCCUGUUUGACAUGAAUUUAUGAGGGACUGGCUGCAUGUGAGUCCUAGAUACAUGUCACUAUGCGUAUGUCCCUGUGUAUAUUAGGGUCAUAAAAACGAAUCCUUCUUCUUAAGAGCGACUGCUACAGGGAAAGAGAACCAGAGUGAGAGAAAGUCGUGGGUGAAAGUAACAGCUGUUAAGGCAGCACGUGUUGCUUAGCUUUCGCUUUCAUCUGGCCAGCAUCUCUGCUAAAAUUUCCCCACUGCCAAUGGCCAAAAUGUAACAGACUUCGGCUCCUGGCUCCAGUGUGCGUAUCCUGCCUGCUGAAAAAAGGUCGUGUCCUCGUCAGUUAGUCGGCAAAGUGGUUCACGAAAAAUAUACGAAAAUAUACGUUGAAUUAAAUUCAAAGAAUUUGUGUACUAUUGACACUUUUUGGUGUUUUUGUGAAAGAUUUAUUCACCACAAAUAAAGUGGAAAUAGUGUUAUGAAAAGCGUUAAACAAUAAUUGAACAAAAUCGGUUGGAUAUUAAACAAAAUUCACAUAUUCCUUAAAUCCCGCAAAAUAAUGACCCGCCAAGAGAGGGGUGGCGAAAUGCCUGGCUAAAACACUAACCACAGUGGAAAAGCUAGCGGAGUUGAGCUCGAAAUGAAGAGUGGAAAAUAGCAAAGAGGACUUGCUGGCUCAGCUUUUGCCGGAU